rnacentral:rRNA from 1 species
GAGUUUGAUUCUGGCUCAGAUUGAACGCUGGCGGCAUGCCUUACACAUGCAAGUCGAACGGUAACGCGGGGCAACCUGGCGACGAGUGGCGAACGGGUGAGUAAUGUAUCGGAACGUGCCCAGUUGUGGGGGAUAACUGCUCGAAAGAGCAGCUAAUACCGCAUACGACCUGAGGGUGAAAGCGGGGGAUCGCAAGACCUCGCGCAAUUGGAGCGGCCGAUAUCAGAUUAGGUAGUUGGUGAGGUAAAGGCUCACCAAGCCGACGAUCUGUAGCUGGUCUGAGAGGACGACCAGCCACACUGGGACUGAGACACGGCCCAGACUCCUACGGGAGGCAGCAGUGGGGAAUUUUGGACAAUGGACGCAAGUCUGAUCCAGCCAUGCCGCGUGCGGGAAGAAGGCCUUCGGGUUGUAAACCGCUUUUGUCAGGGAAGAAACGCUCUGGGUUAAUACCUUGGGGUAAUGACGGUACCUGAAGAAUAAGCACCGGCUAACUACGUGCCAGCAGCCGCGGUAAUACGUAGGGUGCAAGCGUUAAUCGGAAUUACUGGGCCUAAGGCGUGGCGCAGGGCGGGUUAUGCAAGACAGAUGUGAAAUCCC